rnacentral:tRNA from 1 species
GGCCCGUUGGUCAAGUGGUUAAGACAUCGCCCUUUCACGGCGGUAUCAGGGGUUCGAAUCCCCUACGGGUCA